CAAUGAUCUGGUGUCAGCUUCCUUCACUGGCCUGCCAAGAACAGACUGAGGGGGGACAAAGCAGCCGAUUGAUGGUCACAACUGAAGCCUGUUGGAGUGUCACACACUGUCAUUGUAGGAGGAGUUAGGCUACAACGAAAAACACUGGAGCUGCUGGAGACAGUAGUUUUGUGACAGACCACUUGGUGACAAGAGGAAAACUGCAGUCACGGAGAAAAGACAAGAGACUUGCAAUUGAAUCGAGUGGUGUGUGUACCGGUAGGAGAGGCGCUGCUGGUGAGGGCAGUGGAGGAAGACAUGCCGCCCCAUUUUAUAGAUAGAGCCUGCAAUCUUGGGAAAGUAUGUGAAAGAAUGUCUACAACAUUGUAAAGGUCAAUGGAAAUGUAAGGAUGAAAGGAGAAGACAGAAAAUGGAGAAAAGUGUCAGCAGCCCUCCCCAGAUGGUG